UGGCGUGUGUGUGGAGUCCUAGGUGUACGCUGGGUCCCACACUUGUCACGGCGGAGACGCAGCUGUCCGCGUGGCGUGUGCGGUGGGAAGGGUGCCUGAAUCCUCCAUGAGCUCCCAAUGAACUUCAUGGUCGCAGCCCUACAACAUAUUCUCAUCACCUCCAAAUAUCUGCUGAGGUGUAGGUGUGGUGGCAGCAAUGAUGCCAAGUAACUCCUCACUGCAUCCAACUUGAAGAAAAAGUUCAAACCUUUCUUCACUAGCUGCAAAAGAGCA